rnacentral:rRNA from 1 species
CCUUUGUACACACCGCCCGUCGCUACUACCGAUUGAAUGGCUCAGUGAGGCUUCCGGACUGGCCCAGAGGAGUCGGCAACGACACCUCAGGGCCGGAAAGCUAUCCAAACUCGGUCAUUUAGAGG